GAGCUGCGGGAAACUGCAGGUAACACCGGAUACGCACGAGAGUGGAAAGUUUACGCCCUGGGAUGGGCCCGCGUCGGAUUAGGUAGUUGGUGGGGUAACGGCCUACCAAGCCUGCGAUCCGUAACCGGUCUGAGAGGAUGAUCGGUCACACUGGGACUGAGACACGGCCCAGACUCCUACGGGAGGCAGCAGUGGGGAAUCUUGGACAAUGGGGGCAACCCUGAUCCAGCGACGCCGCGUGGGUGAUGAAGGCCUUCGGGUCGUAAAGCCCUUUUGCCGGGGAAGAUGAUGACGGUACCCGGAGAAGAAGCACCGGCUAACUCUGUGCCAGCAGCCGCGGUAAGACAGAGGGUGCUAGCGUUGUUCGGAAUUACUGGGCGUAAAGGGCGCGUAGGCGGCUCGUUUAGUCGGGUGUGAAAUCCCGGGGCUCAACCCCGGAACUGCAUUCGAUACUGGCGGGCUAGAGACCGAGAGAGGUGGGUGGAAUACCCAGUGUAGAGGUGAAAUUCGUAGAUAUUGGGUGGAACACCGGUGGCGAAGGCGGCUCACUGGCUCGGUUCUGACGCUGAGGCGCGAAAGCGUGGGGAGCAAAAGGGAUUA
rnacentral:rRNA from 1 species